rnacentral:rRNA from 1 species
CCUACGGGAGGCAGCAGUGGGGAAUAUUGCACAAUGGGCGCAAGCCUGAUGCAGCGACGCCGCGUGAGGGAUGACGGCCUUCGGGUUGUAAACCUCUUUCAUUAAGGACGAAGCGCAAGUGACGGUACCUGUAGAAGAAGGACCGGCCAACUACGUGCCAGCAGCCGCGGUAAU